GACGAACGCUGGCGGCGCGCUUAACACAUGCAAGUCGAACGGAAAGGCCUGCUUUCCCUUGUGGAUUGCGGGUACUCGAGUGGCGAACGGGUGAGUAACACGUGAGUGAUCUGCCCCCAACUUGGGUAUAAGCCUGGGAAACUGGGUCUAAUUCCCGAUAGGACUGCAGGGUGGUGCCUGUGGUGGAAAACGAUUUUCUAGUGGUUGGGGAUGAGCUCGCGGCCUAUCAGCUUGUUGGUGGGGUACUGGCCUACCAAGGCGGCGACGGGUAGCCGGCCUGAGAGGGUGGACGGCCACAUUGGGACUGGGAUACGGCCCAGACGCCUACGGGAGGCAGCAGUGGGGAAUAUUGGACAAUGGGCGGAAGCCUGAUGCAGCGACGCCGCGUGGGGGAUGACGGCCUUCGGGUGGUAAACUCCUUUCGACCGCGAGGAAGCCACCUGGUUGGAAGGGUGGUGACGGUAGUGGUAGAAGAAGCACCGGCUAACUACGUG
rnacentral:rRNA from 1 species